CGGACGGGUGAGUAAUGUAUGGGGAUCUGCCUGAUGGCGGGGGAUAACUACUGGAAACGGUAGCUAAUACCGCAUAAUGUCUACGGACCAAAGCGGGGGACCUCCGGGCCUCGCGCCAUCAGAUGAACCCAUAUGGGGUUAGCUAGUAGGUAAGGUAACGGCUUACCUAGGCGACGAUCCCUAGCUGGUCUGAGAGGAUGAUCAGCCACACUGGGACUGAGACACGGCCCAG
rnacentral:rRNA from 1 species